rnacentral:rRNA from 1 species
CUACGGAGGGUGCAAGCGUUACUCGGAAUCACUGGGCGUAAAGCGCGCGCAGGCGGCUUGAUAAGUUGGAUGUGAAAGCCUACGGCUCAACCGUAGAACUGCAUCCAAAACUGUCAAGCUAGAGUCUGGGAGGGGAAGAUGGAAUUAGUUGUGUAGGGGUAAAAUCCGUAGAGAUAACUAGGAAUACCAAAAGCGAAGGCAAUCUUCUGGAACACUACUGACGCUGAGGCGCGAAGGCGUGGGGAGCAAACAGGAUUAGAAACCCGGGUAGUCC